rnacentral:rRNA from 1 species
GAUGAACGCUGGCGGCGUGCCUAAUACAUGCAAGUCGAGCGAACAGAUGAGGAGCUUGCUCCUCUGACGUUAGCGGCGGACGGGUGAGUAACACGUGGAUAACCUACUUAUAAGACUGGGAUAACUUCGGGAAACCGGAGCUAAUACCGGAUAAUAUAUUGAACCGCAUGGUUCAAUAGUGAAAGACGGUUUUGCUGUCACUUUUAGAUGGAUCCGCGCCGCAUUAGCUAGUUGGUAAGGUAACGGCUUACCAAAGCAACGAUGCGUAGCCGACCUGAGAGGAUGAUCGGCCACACUGGAACUGAGACACGGUCCAGACUCCUACGGGAGGCAGCAGUAGGGAAUCUUCCACAAUGGGCGAAAGCCUGACGGAGCAACGCCGCGUGAGUGAUGAAGGUCUUCGGAUCGUAAAACUCUUUUAUUAGGAAAGAACAAAUGUGUAAGUAACUAUGCACGUCUUGACGGUACCUAAUCAGAAAGCCACGGCUAACUACGUG